CGCAUGGUGGCUUAGUGGUUAGCACGUUCGCCUCACACCUCCAGGGUCCGAGGUUCGAUUCCCGCCAGGUGA